AUGAACAUUAAUGCAAGAAUUAAGGGAAAAAAUGGAUGUCUUUACCAGCAGGAAAAUGGCGAAAGAAGGAAAACCAGAAAAUUUCCAUUUAUUAGCUACAAAGAGAUCCUUUCAGCAACAAAUUUCUUCGCUGAUUCAAACUUGCUUGGACGGGGAGGUUUUGGCAAAGUUUACAAGGGCACAAUGGAAGGUGGAUAUGAGGUUGCUGUCAAAAGGCUUAGCCAGGGUUCUGGUCAAGGCAUUGUGGAGUUCAAAAAUGAAGUAGUUCUAAUUGCAAAACUGCAGCACAAGAACCUGGUCAGACUUCAUGGGUGUUGCAUUCAGGAAGAUGAGAAGUUACUGAUCUACGAAUACUUACCUAACAAAAGUUUGGAUGCCUUUAUUUUUGAUGUUGCACGAAAACACAUGCUUGAUUGGUCGACGCGGUUCAAAAUAGUUAAAGGAAUAGCAAGAGGUCUUCUUUAUCUCCAUCAAGAUUCAAGAUUAACAAUAAUUCACAGAGAUCUCAAAGCAAGCAACAUCUUGUUGGACGCAAAAAUGACUCCCAAAAUUUCAGAUUUUGGUAUGGCACGAAUAUUUGGUGCAAACCAGAAUCAUGCAAACACUACUAGGGUUGUCGGGACAUAUGGUUACAUGUCACCUGAAUAUGCGAUGGGAGGUGCAUUUUCUGUUAAAACAGACACAUAUAGCUUUGGUGUUCUUCUCUUGGAGAUUGUUAGUGGCCUGAAGAUCAGUUCACCUCUGCUCAAAACAAAUUUUUGCAGCCUUAUAACUUAUGCGUGGAGACUAUGGGAAGUUGGAGAAGCAACUGAACUAGUGGACUCUUCUGUUGUCGCGAAUUGCUCACUUCAUGAAGUUCUACGGUGUGUUCAUGUCGGACUCUUGUGUGUUCAAGACCAUCCCAACGAUAGGCCGCUAAUGUCAUCGGUUAUGUUUAUGUUGGAGAAUGAAAACACGCUUCUUCCAACUCCAAAGCAACCCGCUUACUUUGCUCUAAGUAAUCGUGAAGGUCAAGAAGCAACAGAUAACAUAGAGAACUCCACAAAUGCAAUUAGCAUCACAGCCUUGGAGGGUCGUUAA
rnacentral:rRNA from 1 species